AGUUUGAUCCUGGCUCAGAUUGAACGCUGGCGGCAUGGUUAAGACAUGCAAGUCGAACGAUUAAAGCACCUUCGGGUGUGUAUAAAGUGGCGAAAGGGCGAGGAAUACGUUCCUACGUACCCCGAGGUCAGGGAUAGCCCAGGGAAACUUGGAGUAAUACCUCAUGUGGUCUCCGGAUCAAAGGCUUGCCGCCUUAGUAGCAAGGAACGUCCUAUCAGGUUGUUGGUGGGGUAAUGGCCUACCAAGCCUUAGACGGGUAGCGGGUGUGAGAGCAUGACCCGCCGCAUCGGGACUGAGACACUGCCCGGACUCCUACGGGAGGCUGCAGUAACGAAUCUUCCGCAAUGCGCGAAAGCGUGACGGAGCAAUGCCGCGUGCAGGAUGAAUCCCCUCGGGGUGUAAACUGCUGUCAGAGUUUAGGAACACAAUGACCAGACUCAAAGGAAGGGCCGGCUAACUUCGUGCCAGCAGCCGCGGUAAUACGAAGGGCCCGAGCGUUAUUCAGAAUCACUGGGCUUAAAACGUACGCAGGCGGACAUGCAGGCGUCUUGUGAAAUCCCUCGGCUCAACCGAGGAACUGCUUGGCGAACCGCAUGUCUUGAGACAGACAGAGGUCGUCGGAACGAUUGGUGGAGUGGUGAAAUGCGUUGAUAUCAAUCGGAACGCCGAAGGAGAAGUCAGGCGACUGGGUCUGUUCUGACGCUGAGGUACGAAAGCGUGGGUAGCGAACGGGAUUAGAUACCCCGGUAGUCCACGCCGUAAACGAUGUGCACUAGGUUGGGGACGUACUGACACGUUUCCUGGCCGAAGCGAAAGUGUUAAGUGCACCGCCUGGGGAGUACGGUCGCAAGGCUAAAACUCAAAGGAAUUGACGGGGGCUCACACAAGCGGUGGAGCAUGUGGCUUAAUUCGAAGCAACGCGAAGAACCUUAUCCAGGGCUUGACAUGUAUGGAUUAUUGAUCCGAAAGGUGAUGACGCUCUCUGAGUGGAACAUACACAGGUGCUGCAUGGCUGUCGUCAGCUCGUGCUGUGAAGUGUCGGGUUAAGUCCCUUAACGAGCGAAACCCCUAUCACUAGUUGCCAUCAGGUUAUGCUGGGGACUCUAGUGAGACUGCCGGUGUCAAACCGGAGGAAGGUGGGGAUGACGUCAAGUCCUCAUGGCCCUUAUGUCCUGGGAUGCAAACGUGCUACAAUGGCGUGUACAAAGCGACGCGAUACCGCGAGGUGGAGCAAAUCGCCAAAACCCGCCCCAGUUCGGAUUGCAGGCUGCAACUCGCCUGCAUGAAGUUGGAAUCGCUAGUAAUCGUGGAUCAGCUUGCCACGGUGAAUACGUUCCCGGGUCUUGUACACACCGCCCGUCAAGCCAUGGAAGUCGGCAGUACCCGAAGCCGGUGGCCCAACUCUUAGGAGAGGGAGCCGUCGAAGGUAAGGCUGGUAACUAGGGCUAAGUCGUAACAAGGUAACC
rnacentral:rRNA from 1 species